rnacentral:rRNA from 16 species
GCGGAAUGGACCGCAGCCUGUCACACGAUGCCAUGAACAGGGCGUGGCAGAACGUCCCGAUGCCUUCCUUCGGGCAUGGCUUGCGGAAUACGUUCUUGUGCAUCAUGUGCACCGUCCGCCAGCGGCCGCGGCACUUC